rnacentral:rRNA from 1 species
UACGUAGGGACCGAGCGUUGUCCGGAAUCAUUGGGCGUAAAGAGCGUGUAGGCGGCUAUUUAAGUCCUGCGUGAAAUCCUGCGGCUCACCGCAGACGGUCGUGGGAAACUGGAUGGCUAGAGUGCGGGAGAGGAGAGUGGAAUUCCCGGUGUAGCGGUGAAAUGCGCAGAUAUCGGGAAGACACCCGUGGCGAAGGCGGCUCUCUGGAACGCAACUGACGCUGAGACGCGAAAGCGUGGGGAGCAAACAGGG